UGAUUACUCAGCGAUAUGCGAUUAAAAGCUUCAAAUUUGCAGAAACCCAUCUUCUUCAGCUCCUACUCUGCCCAUGAUAUUCUCAGAGCGUCUUUCAUUGAGAAGUUUCUGGUCUCCAGAAUCCUUUUUGUGCACUUAAGAUUCCUUCUUGGUGUUUGGAGAAAGUUAAGUGAACAUCCCAGUGCAGUGACUUCAACAUGUUCUCAACUUCUCUUAUCACAUUUGAUUCGUCACGAACUAUUAGUUUACCUCCUGGUCUUACUAUUCUAUCCACUUCUGCCAUUACUGGAACAAGAUUGCACCUUUCAAAACAAAACAAAACAAGAGACUUAUUGUUGAUGAAACGUUACCAAAAGGUGUGGAUAUUAUGAGUUACGCUUAUACCUUGUUCUCAACUUUGAGAAAAGAUGAUCUGCAUGUAAGAGAUCAUAGCUUCGAGGGUCCUUCAGAGCUGCUGCAAACCUGCAUUUUUACGUAGUUAGUAAAAAAAGGUUUAGUUUUGGUAAGUGAGAUUUUAGUUUGAUUUGUUUUCGUUGAUGCUCACCCUCCGUAGACAGCUCGCAUGUCCAUUACAUUCCUCACAUUUGACCAGCUGAUUCCUAUUUCAUUCAUGUAUACUUUGCUUACAACAUGUUUCCAGUGUUCAUAAUCUGUAGUGAAAUCUCGAGGAGCUGGUUUCCCAUAUAUCCCCAUUUGAGAGCUGUUUAACCAGUAAGGCGGUGUUUGAAGCCGACGGGGCCAAUUCACGGGCCACUUGCUUCCUCUCUCGACCACAUUGGUUUCUGGUAGAUUGCAGCACCAAUACCAUUGAGUUUAUCCUUGUUGAUUGUCACAAGUUCCCAGCACAAGGAUUUUGUCAACGCGGACAUUUCUACAUCACUCAAAACAUCUCAGGUUCAGUGAAACAAACAAAAGAAGGAGGAACUCUAGCCUAAGCAUCCGAUUAAGUUCCAGAAGAAGCAUACCACCCUCAUUAUGCCAUGGGACUCUACAACGUGCACAGUGGAUAAGAUCAAACACUCUGCUCGGGAAUGGCAGUCGCUUAGAGCCCAUAACUGCUGAGAUGGCUGGAAUCUUUCUUUCAAGAGCAAACUGGACUUGAGCCUCGUGUUCAUCUUUUGGUGCAAGAGACAUUGCUAUAACAUCUCUUUCAAAGAGGAAACCGCCAAAGCUCGCCACUCCACAUCCAACAUCCAAUAUGACCCGAGUACGUUUACCCCACGCAAUGUUUUUCAAAGACUGCCAUAGUAGAAAAAAGGAACCAUUAUAUUCUGCAUAAAAUUUCUAUCUUUUACUUGUUGCAGUUUUAACACUAUACUGAAAUCAAGAAAUGAGUGUUCACCUGCUGAAGAAAAUCGAUAUAAUGAAGAGCUCCAUGGAUGAACUGUGUUCCACCACCAGGAAACGUCAAGAACUCGCCAGUGACCUUCACCCAGUUCUGAUGUCCUUUUACCUCAGCUAGCUUUGUGUGUGGGACAUUGUGGUACCAUAUCUACUAGAUCACAUGCCACUUGAUGGCCUCCUUAUAACCUUCUGGGAGGGGGACGAGACACGUUGAUUCUUUCGGUAUUCCAGAGCCAAAACCACUGGCUUCUGAACCCUGUUCGUGUUUUUUCUCAUCCUUCCGCUCUUCUUGUUGCUCCAUGUUUUCGUCCUUUGAUGUGCUCUCUUCUUCUUUGUUUCCGCUUUCUUCCUCUGCUGUGGUAUGUUCUUCCUGUUGGCCAUUCUCAUCUUUCAUGCUCUUCUCUCCCUUCCCGUUUUCUUCACUAGCUGUUGUCUUCUCCUCGUUUUGUUGUCCGGUUUCCUCAUUCCCUGAGUUUUGUUCCUCUGGUUGUCCGUUUUCUUCAUUCUUUGAGGUCUCUGAUGUUUCCCCCUGCCCCGUUUCCAUAGGUUGUUCUUGUUUGGUCGCAUCUGUGAAUGUCACAUCCGUAUUCGAAUCCUGUUCUUGCCCUUGUUUAUUUCCUUGUUCCACAUCCGGCUGUUCCUUCCCUUGUCCCUGCUCUUGCCCUUGAGUCCCUUUGGGCUGAGUCCCAGCGUCCUCGUCCCGCUGUUGUUUCUGUUCCUUUUCAAACUCCUUGACGACUUUUUUCAUCUGACCCUCCUCACUCUCUUGCACCGUCUGGUUCUCCUUGCCGUUAUCUUUCUCUUUUUCCUCGGAAAUUUUGUCAUCGUUGUUUUGUUGGGUCUCUUGUGUUUGAGUCUUUGAGCUCGUCGUUUCACUCUUCUCUUUCGCUGACUUCCGUUGCUCGUCUUCAGACUUUACGGCAUCGUCUGGAAGCUUUCCCGGAUUGUCUUCAAAUGCCUGUUGCUCAUCAGACUCUUGUUUCGUGGGUUCGGGCUCAUCAUUACCGUUUGAAGAGGCAGACACAUCACUCCUCUCUGUCUCUGCGACAGCCGCUCGAGUGGAGCCUUGUGUGAUCUGCGGUGGAAUAACGGAAUUGGAAGAAAGCAUCCACACCCCGAAGACACACAGAGCCACAAAGAUGACCAUUGUAAUGGUCGACGCAUAGGACGACGUCGAAGUGCGUUUGUUGCCACGUCCCCUCCCGAAGGCCAUCUUUACGGUCUUGCGUAUAGUACUAGUUAUGGAGAAAGAAGAAGAAGAAAAAUGAAGGAGUAAAAUGGGAGUUGAAGGAAGUAAAAAUAGAAGAAAAAGAAGAGAAAGAGAGGUUGUGAAGAGACAAGACUGGAUCAAAGAUCCUAUAGAGUCGGAUAUGGGACUUUCAAUUUCGUGUCUCUAAAUUUAGUUAUGGUCUCUGUGUUUCAUAUUUUGUUGUCCAUGAAAAAUUAGUGCCAUGUAAUCCAAUGUUAACUUGUAACGCCUAGUCAAGGAUAUAUUAAACAUGGCAAGCUUGUGCUUUUUUGGUAUAAUGUAUUCGAAGACUGUUUAAUUUGAAUUUUGAUUGAUUAAGU
rnacentral:lncRNA from 1 species